AAAACCUUUUGCUGGUGUGCACUAAAUACUAAUGAAUCCCGUUUUCUUCCUUUGUGCAGGUCGCUGUAUAACCGAAGGUGCUUUGACUGGCAGCAACGCCGGAUCACCAGUAUAGAGUUUGACAGUGCUGGCUCUACUUGCUGGCUGCGUCCAAUGACUUUGCCAGUAGGCUCUGGACUGUGGAUGACUACAGACUGAGGUGCUCAGGGCUUCAAUUGUGGCACUGACUGGACCAUAGUCACCUUCAGUCCCGAUGGCAGUUAUGUGGCGGGGGGCUCUGCAGACGGAGCUCUAUGUGUGGAACUUCCUGACGGUCAGAAUUUGAGGCUCGGCCAUCAACUCUGUGUCCUGGUCACCGUCGGGAGCCUACGUGGUCAGUGUGGAGAAAGGCAGCAAGGCCGUGCUCUGGUCCGACAUGUGAUUGGCUCUGCUCUAGCCCUCUGCCAUUGGGUGACUGGCUGGCUGUCUGUCUGGACUGUUCAAUGGAGGCACAGACUGGACAAGGGGUUCCCUAGCCCCACCCUCUAAUGUCCGAUCCCCCCCAUUACUUUCCCUCACUGGCAUUGGACCAUUUUGUGCUCAAAUGCGUGGGGGGUGGCUUGCCUAUAGGAAGGAGGUCAUCUGGUGGCCCAUGGGUGGACAGCAGAGAAUUAGUUGGUGUCCAGUUGGAAGUGUCAGUGGAAGAGCCAUGAAGGCAGUUCUCUUUAAGUAAAACGCUAUCAUAUAUCCAUUUGAAAUGAUUGAAAUAUUGAAAUAUCCAACCAAGGCGAGUGAGUCACCGUUGAAUUUAUAAAACAGUUGCCAAAUUGCCACUAUAACCAGAGCUGAAUAAUCUGUUUUUACAGCUGCAAUUGGACAUGUCGUUAGUUUUACAUGACCUUGGGGUGGGCAUAGGCUUUUAAUGUUGAAGUCUGUCAGCUUUUGAAAAACUGGGCCCAGGAGAAGCAAUCUGAUCGGAUUCCCGCCAUCGGAUAGAAUUAAAUGCACAGAAAUAGAAUGGGUGUAUCAUUGACUUGAAUGGGGAUGCCCGUUUGAUUCACACUAUUUCUAUACAUUUAAUCCUAUCCAAUUGCCGAGCAUUGAGGUUGUCAGGGGUCAUUUAAUACUGUAGUUCAGUGCUCUUCAACCCUUGUCCUGGCUACCCACAGGGCCUGUUAGGUGGUCCUUAUAGCUAUGCACCAACACAUCACAUCAAGUACUUGAACUGGGCUGGAGAAAAAGCAUGGGUCCAUGGGAUUGAAAAACACUGCUGUAAGGAGUGUGAAGACAUGUUGUUGUGGACAAGACUACACACAAUUCUCCAUAAACUCAUGUGCCAAUCACAAUGAACAUGCCCUCGUGCACACACACAGGAUCAACGGGUUGAGGCUAGUGCCCCGUUUAUUGUAGUCUGGCAAAAAAGCACACGAUUAUCAAUCUACAUUCCUCCGUCUAAAUCAUAA